GACGAACGCUGGCGGCGUGCCUAAUACAUGCAAGUAGAACGCUGAAGAGAGGAGCUUGCUCUUCUUGGAUGAGUUGCGAACGGGUGAGUAACGCGUAGGUAACCUGCCUUGUAGCGGGGGAUAACUAUUGGAAACGAUAGCUAAUACCGCAUAACAAUGGAUGACACAUGUCAUUUAUUUGAAAGGGGCAAUUGCUCCACUACAAGAUGGACCUGCGUUGUAUUAGCUAGUAGGUGAGGUAAUGGCUCACCUAGGCGACGAUACAUAGCCGACCUGAGAGGGUGAUCGGCCACACUGGGACUGAGACACGGCCCAGACUCCUACGGGAGGCAGCAGUAGGGAAUCUUCGGCAAUGGGGGCAACCCUGACCGAGCAACGCCGCGUGAGUGAAGAAGAGUUUCGGAUCGUAAAGCUCGGUUGUAAGUCAAGAACGGGUGUGAGAGUGGAAAGUUCACACUGUGACGGUAGCUUACCAGAAAGGGACGGCUAACUACGUG
rnacentral:rRNA from 1 species